CCUACGGGUGGCUGCAGUGGGGAAUAUUGGACAAUGGGGGGAACCCUGAUCCAGCCAUGCCGCGUGUGUGAAGAAGGCCCUCGGGUUGUAAAGCACUUUCAGUGAGGAAGAACGCCUGGUGGUUAAUACCCAUCAGGAAAGACAUCACUCACAGAAGAAGCACCGGCUAACUCCGUGCCAGCAGCCGCGGUAAUACGGAGGGUGCGAGCGUUAAUCGGAAUUACUGGGCGUAAAGCGCGCGUAGGUGGCUUGAUAAGCCGGUUGUGAAAGCCCCGGGCUCAACCUGGGAACGGCAUCCGGAACUGUCAAGCUAGAGAGCAGGAGAGGAAGGUAGAAUUCCCGGUGUAGCGGUGAAAUGCGUAGAGAUCGGGAGGAAUACCAGUGGCGAAGGCGGCCUUCUGGACUGACACUGACACUGAGGUGCGAAAGCGUGGGUAGCAAACAGGAUUAGAUACCCUAGUAGUC
rnacentral:rRNA from 1 species